rnacentral:rRNA from 1 species
GACGAACGCUGGCGGCGUGCUUAACACAUGCAAGUCGAACGGAAAGGCCCUGCUUUUGUGGGGUGCUCGAGUGGCGAACGGGUGAGUAACACGUGAGUAACCUGCCCUUGACUUUGGGAUAACUUCAGGAAACUGGGGCUAAUACCGGAUAGGAGCUCCUGCUGCAUGGUGGGCGUUGGAAAGUUUCGGCGGUUGGGGAUGGACUCGCGGCUUAUCAGCUUGUUGGUGGGGUAGUGGCUUACCAAGGCUUUGACGGGUAGCCGGCCUGAGAGGGUGACCGGCCACAUUGGGACUGAGCUACGGCCCAGACUCCUACGGGAGGCAGCAGUGGGGAAUAUUGCACAAUGGGCGGAAGCCUGAUGCAGCAACGCCGCGUGCGGGAUGACGGCCUUCGGGUUGUAAACCGCUUUCGCCUGUGACGAAGCGUGAGUGACGGUAAUGGGUAAAGAAGCACCGGCUAACUACGUG